rnacentral:lncRNA from 1 species
CGUGAUUCUUCUUUUGAUUCUCCCCGAGGCCUUUCACGGGCCUAUAUGAGAAAUGUUUGUGGUAUGCACUUUCUGUUGGUGUUGGAUUUGGAUGGCUGGAUAGAGCGCUUACCUGAUGAAUUGGGAGACUUGAUUCACCUGAGGUACUUAGGCUUGUUUUACUCACAACUAGAUGAGCUUCCAGGGACUUUAGGGAAUCUUAAAAGACUGCAAACUUUGGAUAUAAGGGGGUGUGGAAAACUACGCAAACUACCAAUACAAAUUCUGCAUAUCCAGCAGUUGAGACACCUUCUAAUGUCCCACUGCUUUAAUGAUGGUGAAAUUAGAGUUCCGAAGGGCAUUGGAACAUUGGUAAAUCUUCACACUUUGUCUGGUAUUUAUGGUGGAGAUGAUAUUGCCAUGGAAUUGAUUGCCUUAACCCAGCUACGAGAGCUCGGCGUUAAGCGUGUGAGUGCCGAUCAUGCCAGUGAGCUGUUUGCAGCUAUAAAGAAGAUGGAGAACCUCACAUCCCUAUCGCUAGAAGCAGAGGGAAACUACUUUGAAGGUACUAUUUUUCCUGAAUCGGAUGCGUUUUCUCCUCCGCCACUUCUUCAAGAGUUUUCCUUACGUGGGGGUUUAAUUGAGAUGCCCGUUUGGUUUGCCUCCAUGGAAAACCUCACCCACCUAUCAUUAGGGUAUUCUAAUCUAUCCGAGAAUCCAACUUCAGUCCUUCAGUUGAUUCCCAAAUUGAAGCAUCUUAAACUCUGGGAAGCCUACAAGGCAAGGCACAUUGGUAAAGAAUUUUGCAAUGCAGGUGGUUUCCCUGUGCUGGAAACUCUCACAAUUGCUUCUGCGUUCCUGGCGGAAUGGACUGAAAUUGAAACUGGAGCUUUUCCACGUUUAAGAUAUCUUUGUUUUUAUUGCUGUCCAAGCUUGAUGUUUCUUCCUGAAGGGUUGCAGAACAUUUCCACACUUCAAGAUCUGUGUUUCUUCCCCUGGAAUCCAGACCUUAAAAGGCGAUUGAAGGGUGAAGAGAAUUACAAGAUCAAGCAUGUCCGAGUAUUUGGGAAGGUUUGAGAACCGUUGAUUUUCCAACCAAGAAAUGGAAAAACAUCAACCACAAUAGUUUCCAGAGGAAGUUUUUCGAGGAUGAAAUGCUUUUGCUUUACUCCUCAAAUAUCAUCUCCUGCUUUCUGUUCAUUUACUUCAAUAUUCUGGUGAUGUGUGCUAUCCUCUACUGUCUUGUAUACCUAAAUUUGUGCAAUCUCCAGCGGAGAAACCAGUGUCCUAGACUCCAAAAAAUCUAUCUUGAUGAUGAACGAUGUGUUUAUCUAUUUGCAUUUCCUUAAUAUCUGGAUUAUUAUCUAAUUAUUCUAUAGAAUUGCCCUUCUUCUAGAUUUCUCUCUAAGGAUUGAAUCAUUAGAAAAUCAAGGUUUUUUAUUCCUGUUUUUUUCGCUUGAAGUGGACUUGCUAGGUAAGAAACACGUCUAUUAUAUUGGCAGCAGUUCAUAUAAAUUAUACAUCCCAUUCCGUGUUUACAUAGAAUCAAAGGCGUAACAAAUAUUGUUUAUGCCUUUUAUUUUAUUCAAUUAAUUAAUUUUAUAUAUGUUUAUUUUUUUAUUAUUUAUUUAAAUAAAAUAUUAAUUUUUGUGAACAGAUUGUCUUGAAGAUCCAAGUUGCAAGAUCAAAUAUCUUGGUCUAUAUGCGACUUUUAACUUUUUAAUUUUUAUUUUUAUUUAUCAGUAAUGAUUAUUUAUUUAUUUAUUAACAUAUGUAUUUUUUAAUUUAUUUUAUUAGAUGUAUAAAUAAGUUUUUUUUAAUUUUGAUUAAAAACAAAACAUUGAAAAAAUCUACAUAUUUAUUUUUUUAUAAAAACCUCAAAGUUAAAUAGCUAUUAAAAACUAGCCGCCAUUGUAGGGUUUGAUAGAAAAGAUAUUGGGCUGGUAUAUCAUAUUAUUACUGUUAUUAACUAUUACCACUAUAUACUAAAAAAUAACAACAGUGCAUUAUUGUGCUCAAUUUGGACAGGACUUUUCAAGAACAAUGUUGUUUUUUUUUUUUUCAUUUUGAUCAUCAAAUAUUAUUAUGAUUAUCAGUAUUAUUGUUAUAUUCUUGCAAGUUAAAUUUAAAUUUACUAUUUUUUUAUAAGUUUAAUUUAUGCAUAUAUGAUCCCCAUAGUCUAAGAAUUAUAAGUUUCAAUCCUAGAUUUAUUUAUUUAUUUAUUUUAGUCUUCGAGUAUUGAAAGAUGUUAGAAAAAAAAAAAAAAAAGUCAGUUGAUCACGUUCUUGUUAUCAAAAAAACCAAUCUUGUUAUCAAUGAAUUUGUCUUACAAAUAUAAGUUCUAUGAAGAAGGUUUAGAACUUUUAUCCUGUUAAAAACACAUAUCAAGACUUAGAAAGUUUUUUUAUUUAUUUAUUUGGUUUGAUUUUAGAUUUUAGACAGAUUAAAUGGUGUUUUGGAGUUAACAUGAGUUUAAUUAGGUUCUUAAAAUGUUUCUUUUUUAAUGUUUUGAGAUAAAAAAUAAAUUGAAAAAUAAUAUUUGAAGCUGCAAAACUCAUACUUUAAAUUCAAAUCAUCAAAAUGGUAAAAAUUCAAACUAGAAUGUGGCACCCAUUGUUUCUUAUUAAAAAAGGAAUAUUAGAAAAAAUAAAGCAUGGAAUAAAAGUUUUUUUUUAUGGUAAAAUGAACCAUUACUUUGAAUUAUGAUAUAAGAAGGUAAUAUGCAAUUGUUUUUUUUUAAAAAAAUGUUCAUAAAUAUUAAAUGAGAAUGAAACUAUUUUGUUAUGUUUUAUUGCAUAAUGUUUACAGAAUUUUGAUGAUUAAUUAUUCUUUAUGUUUUUCUUCUGUUGUGUACAAAUUAUUGAUUCAUGAUUUUUUAUAUUUGUAAUGAAAAUUGCUUUUCAAAUCAUGAUAAAUCUUUAUUUAAAAAACAAUACUUUUAUUAAAAAACAUGGUUUUUGAAAACCAAGAAGAAAUACAUGAAUAAUAAAAGUGAUUUUUAAUUGAAAACGAUAUAUAUUUUUCUUUUUUAAUUCAAAUCAUUAAUAUUUUUAUAAAUAAAUAUUUUAAUUAUUUGUAGUUUUUAUUCAAAAACAUGCUACUAAUUAAAAAAAAAAACAUGUUCUUGUCAUACAAAAAUACAUGAAUAAGAAAUGAAAAACUCACUUAACAUAAUUUUUACACGACUAUUUGUUUUUCUCUCCACGGAAUCGGUUGGAAGUGGACUUGACAGUUAAGAAACACGUCUAUUAGAUUGGCAACAGUUCAUAUAAAUUAUACAUCCCAUUCCGUGUUUACAUAGAAUCAAAGGCGUAGCAAAUAUUGUUUUGGCCUUUUAUUUUAUUUAAUUAAUUAAUUUUAUAUAUGUUUAUUUUUGUAUUAUUUAUUUAAAUAAAAAAUUAAUCUUUGUGCAUAGAGUUAUUAAACACGAUUGUCUUGAAGAUCCAAGUUACAAGAUUAAAUAUUUUAUCUAUAUGUGAAUUUUAACUUUUUAAUUUUUAUUUUUAUUUAUCGUUAAUGAUCAUUUAUUUAUUAACAUAUGCAUUUCUCAAUUUAUUUUAUUAUAUGUAUAAAUAAGUUUUUUUUUUAAUUUUGAUUUAAAAAAAACAUUGAAAAAAUCUACAUAUUUAUUUUUUUAUAAAAAAAUUCCAACUCUAAAUCAAAUAGCUAUUAAAAACUAACCAAUGUAGGUUUGAUAUAGAGGAUAUUGGGCUGGUAUAUCAUAUUAUUACUGUUACACCAUUAAAUAGUUUUACCGACGGUUUAAGUUCGUCGGUGUGAGGCACAAAAACCAUCGGUAAUAUUUUUACCGACGGGCUCAUCGACAAAACACGUUAGUUGAAAUUUUAAUUGUUGGUAAUUUUUCUUUUCAUCACUAAUUCUAUUAAUAAUUAAAAAAAACCAAAUAUCGACGAGACAACAGUAUAUUAUUGUAAAAACUAGCCACUAUAGCUUAGAUUGAGAGGAUAGUGGGCUGAUAUAUCAUAUUGUUACUCUUAUUAACUAUUACCACUGUAUACUUAAAAAAAAUAAAAAUGUACAUUGUUGUGCUAAAUUUGGAUAGGAAUUUUAAAGAAUGGUGUUGUUUUCUUUCAUUUUUAUCAUCAAAUAUCAUUAUGAUUAUAAUUAUAAUUAUUAUUAUUGUUAUAUUCUUGCAAGUUAAAUUUGAAUUCGCUUCUUUUUAUUUAUAAGUGUAAUUUAUGCAUAUAUGAUCCCUAUAACUUUAGAAUUAUAAGUUUCAAUCAUAGACUUAUUUAUUUAUUUAUUUAUUUCAAUCUCGGAGUGUUGAGAGAUGUUAAGAAAAUAGAAAAGAAAGAAAGAAAUUCAGUCAGUCACAUUAUGGUUAUGAAAAAAGCCAAUCUUGUUAUCAAUGAAUUUGUCUUCCAAAUAUGAGUUCUAUGAAGAUGGUUUAGAAUUUUAAUCUUGUUAAAAACAGCGAUCGAGAUUUAGAAAGUUUUUUUUAUUUGGUUUGAUUUUAGAUAUUUAGACGGAUUAAAUGGUGUUUUGGAGUUAAAAUGAAUUUAAUUAAGUUCUUAAAAUGUUUUUUUUUUUAAUGUUUUGAGAUAGAAAUAAAUUGAAAAAUAGUAUUUGAAGUUGCAAAACUCAUACUUUAAAUUCAAAUCAUCAAAAUGGUAAAAAUUCAAACUAGAAUGUGGCACCCAUUGUUUCUUAUUAAAAAAGGAAUAUUAGAAAAAAUAAAGCAUGGAAUAAAAGCUUUUUUAUGGUAAAAUGAACCAUUACUUUGAAUUAUGAUAUAAGAAGGUAAUAUACAAUUGUUUUUUUUUAAAUGUUCAUAAAUAUUAAAUGAGAAUGAAACUAUUUUGUUAUUUUUUAUUGUAUAAUUUUUACAGAAUUUUGAUGAUUAAUUAUUCUUUUAUGUUUUUCUUCUGUUGUGUACAAAUUAUUGAUUCAUGAUUUUUAUAUAUUUUUUAAUGAAAAUUGCUUUUAUUAUUCAUGUAUUUCUUCUUGGUUUUCAAAAAACAUGUUACUAUAUAUUUUGUUAUUUUUUAUUGUAUAAUUUUUACAGAAUUUUGAUGCUUAAUUAUUCUUUUAUGUUUUUCUUCUGUUGUGUACAAAUUAUUGAUUCAUGAUUUUUAUAUUUUUUUUGAAUGAAAAUUGCUUUUCAAAUCAUGAUAAAUAUUUAUUUUAAAAACAAUACUUCUAUUAAAAAAACAUGUUUUUUGAAAACCAAGAAGAAAUACAUGAAUAAUAAAAGCAAUUUUUAAUUGAAAACGCUAUAUAUUUUUAUUUUUUAAUUCAAAUCAUUAAUAUUUUUAUGAAUAAAUAUUUUAAUUAUUUGUAGUUUUUAUUCAAAAACAUGCUACUAAUUAAAAAAAAACUUGUUCUUGUCAAACAAAAAUACAUGAAUAAGAAAUGAAGAACUCACAUAACAUAAUAUUUUUUUCUCUCCGCAAUUUAAAUCAUUGUAUAUUUUUUUUAAUAAAUAUUAAUUUUAAUUACCACAAAACUAAAUGAAAACAGAUUUUGAAAACCGCCACACAAGGGAAAAAAUUAGUAAAUAUAUUAAAAGAGCUAGACUUUUUAUUGUAACUCUGAUAUUGUUCAAAUAGAAAUAAAACAUCGUGGAUUACUCCGUGGAAAAACACUGCAAUCUCUAUUGUUGACCUACAAAUAAAAAAAUAUUGAUUUUAUGCUCUAGUCCCUAAAGCUUUUAAUUUUUAGUCAUUUUAAUUUAAAGUCUCUUAGUUUUUGUCUUCAAACUUCAUUUUUAUAAUAUUUCAGUUUUUAUAUUCCGAGAAAAGAGAGAGAAAUUUUUCACUCAUCCAUAUUUAUCCGACAAAAAAAUCAAUCUUAAUAUCAAUAAAUUCAUUUUAGAUUGGGAAGGUCAAUAAAAAUGCUUUUGCUCUUUAACCAUACCAAAAAAUAGAUUGAAGCAUUUUAUUAUAGCUUUGGUAUUGUUCAAGCAUUGAUAAAACCUAUGAAAUCUCUAUUGUCCAGUAAGAAAUAAAACACUGUUCAUUUUACACUUUGAUCAUUGGAGUUUUCAAUUUUUUUUCAUAUUUAAUCCAUGUAGUUUUUAUUUUGUUCAUUUUAGUCUUGGAACUUUAUUUUCACCACAUUUUUGUUCCUAGAUUCUAAGAGAGGAGAAGGAAAAUAGUUAAAAAACAAAGAAGAUAAAUAUUUUAGCUAGCCAUAAAAGAGACUAAUGUUGGUGUUAAUGAGUUAAUUUUAGAAAGAUAAAAUUAAUGGAUGUGGUAUUUCUCCUUUAACCAUGAUGGAAAAAGUAAAUUGAGGCCUGAAAUUUUUUUUUUCCUUCUUGAUUUAUGAUUUUUUAAGUGAUUAAAUAAUAUUUUGGGAUUGUAAAUGAAGUUACCAAGGUUCAUAAUAUUUAUUUUUAAUUGUUUUUAGAUGAAAAGAAGUUGAAGUUUUGAUUUUAAGGGUCCAAAUAUCUCAGAAUCUUCUAGUACUCGAAAAUUGUACCGGUAGAUAACACGUAGUCUAACCAAGCAGAUAAUGUGUUGUCUAUUUAAUUAUUUUUUUAUAUAAAAAAAUAGGUUAGACUACAUGUAUUCUGCCCUUCCUUCCAGACUUAGGUGUGAUGGCUCUUCACCUUUUGUUUUUUUCUUACAUUUUUUAUUUUUUUAAUAAAAUUAUCUUUAAAUAAAAUUAUUAAAAUUAUUUUUGAUUGAUGAGUUUAAGUAUUGAAAUUGAAAGGACAAAGAGAGAGCCAAACUUAGAAAAUAGAUGUUGGUGCAGUCUAAACUGGAACACUGUUCGGUAAUUGGGUCAUAUCUCGAGUUCCAGGUGUCCAAAUGACCUUAACUUUUUGAAAAUAUUUGGUAAGACAUAGGUCUAUAACUUUCAUGUGGAGUCCAAGAUUUAAAAAAGUCGUUUUUAAGUCCAAAUUAUAGCAACAACGGAGAAGUCCGAAUCUGUCCUGUAGCUCAGACAUUGUUCAGUGUUGAACCCAUAUCUCGAGUUCUAGAAGUCCAAAUGACCUCAAUUUUUUUUCCUGGAAAGAUAAGACAAUUUCCUAUAACUUUUGUACGUACAGGUGGUUCUAGUUCUGAUGCUAACAAUGACGUUUUAUUUAGACAAGAAGAUAAGAGUUUUCACCAAGUCAAGAGUUGGCCACCCACUUAACAAUUAGUCAUCAAAUCAAUAGUUUCAAAUUUUGGCCUAUAAAAAAAGGCAUUUGCCAUGUAUUUAGGGGCUUGGUUGUUCAUAUCAAGAACUUGUUCUUGCUCUCUUUUUUUAUAUUUGUUUUUAUAAUUAUUAAGUUUUACUUUCAUUAGUAUUUGUUUAUGCUUUUCAUUUUCUUUCCUUUACUUAGUUAAUUUGUAUCUUAUUUAUGUUCUUGUUUUGUUUAUUUAUGUUUCUCUUCUUCAUUAUGUUUAGUUAAGUUUAUUAUGUCAAGGUGAAAAAGUUACACUAAUGGUGUAAGAAUAAGUAUAGUGUAAACUCAACAUGGACCUUAAUGUUUAAUAUUAACAUGUCUUAUCUUUUUAUCUCACUAAUUCUUAAUACCUGCUUGUUAAAUGGUUAAUCUAGAUUUGUGUUGUACAAUACUUGGUACAACAAAUGUUUGACACUCUCAUAGCCUAACCGUAUGGUAUUAUGGUAUUACCUAUACCUAUGUUGUGCAAGGAACUUGAUUUGUUGUUAACAUAAGUUAGCAUCAUGAAUUCCUGAAAAUAUUUAAAAGUUUGGUAUUACUUAAAUAAGAUAAUUAAUAUAAUCAUGUUAAUAAUUUAUAAUAAGCUAUUAAUGAUAAAUCAUCCGAUUGGAACCUCUUUUGUGUGUGGUUUCUAGUUGAAUAAUAAGAGUUUAUAGUAUACUUGUUUGAAAUACCAUUAGUGGAUCCUCUAACGUUGACAUUUGUUUUUAUCAUUGUUUAAUCUUUAUAUUAAUCUUUCAUCUCAAAGUUCUCAUCAACUUUUUCUUCAUCUUCUUUAUUAUUAUUAUUGUUGUUGUUGUUGUUGUUGUUAUUGUUAUUGUUGUUGUUGUUGUUGUUGUUGUCGUUGAUGUUGUUAUAUUAUUGUUGUCUAUAAUUUAUACAAUUAACCUCCCUGUGGUUUGACCCCGUCUUGCCUGGUUAUUUAUUACUUCGACACUCUUACACUUAGAAGAAAACAUCAAUCUUUUGGUCGUGUCAAAUUGCACUAUAAGAUAGCGAUGUGUUUUUUUUUAUAUUGUUCCUUAAGAACAAAAAAGUUUAUUUUGGUACCUAUAUUUUUGAAGUUUUACAUAUUUUUUUGGUAAUGCAUUUUUACAUACUUUAGGUGCGCUCGAGCUUGAUUUUUUUUGUCCGUCACCUUUUUUCUUCUCUUUUCAAUCAAUAUUUUUGUCUUAAAAGAAAACAAAAUAAAAUUCUAUUCUAAAUAAAAUUAUUGAUAUGAUAUUAAAAACAUUAUCAUGCUGUGCUAUAAUUUUUAAAUAAAAUUAUAGUUUUUAUGGUAAUAUUAAUAAUUGUUUUAUAAAUGAUAAACAUCAACAACAACUGCAAAUUAAAUUAAUUUUGUCUUAAUGAUAAUUUUUUAAACUCAUAAAAUCGUAGCUAAUGGAGUGAUUGUUGGAGAGGUUUAUAUUUUUUAUUACAAAACUAAUAAAUCUAAAAAGGAUGAAUUAUUUUGUGUAAGAAUUUUUAGGCCUAGAAAAAUGGGAUUUGUGCUUGUGAUAAUUAUCUAGUAUUGGAGAUGAAAAGAAAGAACCAAAAUUUUAAAGGAAUAAAUAUAAUGAUAUUUUGAUUUGCAGUGUGGUAAUAAAUAGGAGCAACAUGGGAUCAUUCCUUUCAAAGCCAAAAAGAGGAAUUUAUUGAAGGGGAAAUAAGAAAUAUUUUGUUAUUCUUAAGAGGGGAUUCUUUCUUUUAAUUGUUGGUGUUCCUGUGAUUUCUUAUAUUUAGAUGUGAUUUAUUAAUAAUAAUAAAUAAAAAUAAUAAGAAAUAGAAAGAAAUUCAUCGUCUGGAUCGUAUAUCAACAUCCAAUUAUUAAAAAAAAAUGAAAAAAGAAAAGGUUCCAUCACAACUCAUAUAGAUACAAAUAGUGGAAGCAAGAAUAUUUGACAUAUUUCAUUUUUAAGCAGAAACUUGAUUUUUCUUCCUGAAGGGUUGCAGAACAUUUCCACACUUCAAGAUCUGCGUUUCCGCCCCUGGAAUCCAGACCUUAAAAGGCGAUUGAUGGGUGAAGAGAAUUACAAGAUCAAGCACGUCCCAAAUAUUUGGAUGGUUUGAGAAUCGUUGAUUUUCCAACCAAGAAAUGGAAAAACAUUAACCACAAUAGUUUCCACAGGAAGUCUUUCAAGGAUGAAAUGCUUUUGCUUUACUCCUCAAAUAUCAUCUCCUGCUUUCUGUUCAUUUACUUCAAUAUUCUGGUGAAGUAUGCUAUCCUCUACUGUCUUGUAUACCUAAAUUUGUGCAAUCUCCAGCGGAGAAACCAGUGUACUAGACUUCAAAAAAUCCAUCUUAAUGAUGAACGAUGUGUUUAUCUAUUUGCAUUUCCUUAAUAUCUGGAUUAUUAUCUAAUUAUUCUAUAGAAUUGCCCUUCUUGUAGAUUUCUUAAGGAUUGAAUCCUUAGAAAAUCAAGGAGACAGAUCUGUCUUUCGGGUUACCAGUGAAAAUUUAUUCUUGUUUUUUUCGUUUGGAAGUGGACUUGCUAGAUAAGAAACACGUCUAUUAUAUUGACAACAGUUCAUAUAAAUUAUACAUCCCAUUCCGUGUUUACAUAGAAUCAAAGGCGUAGCAGAUAUUGUGUCUACAUCGCAUUAAAAUUUGAAUAAACCAUCGGAUGCACGAGUAUGAACUACCCUGUAUCCCUAGUUAGCCUAGAUGCUACUGUGUCCUCUUAAUGUUCUCUAAUACAGGCGUGAUAAGAACAUUUUAUUUGAUGAUAGAGCUUUCUUCUCGUCCCAUGUAUCAAGUCACUACAUUUCCAUUGGUAUUGUCGAUGAUUGCUGAUAACCUCUCCAAGAAAAGGUUAAAGGCUUCUGGUGGACUAAACAUGCUUAUUCUGACAUACUUUGGACUAGCCCCAAACCUCUCCCCACUUCUUGCUAUUAUCUUAUGCUCUCUUAAACGACUCUCCCAGUCUAUAUCCUCCUUGCUGUGCAACCAUGCAAAAGCUGUUUGCAGAAAAGCAAAAUAUGUCAGAAGAGAUUUUCAAAUGAGCCUACAAUAAAGUUGGGGUGUCCUAUUUCAAAAGUAACAAAAAUAAUAUUGAUCUAAUUAUGAGCAUUACCAGGAUUUGAAUACAUGUACUUUCCAGUGAAGUUGCAGUAAUCUCGUGGGUACUUUGGCAGACUGAAGACUCUGCUGUUCUUGACAACAUUUCGCAAUCUCUCCCACCUUUCUUUCAGAAUGCUAUGGCUAUACUCAAAGAAGUUCUCUGAAUCAGCAGUCCUACAACCUUCGCCAAGCACUCCAAGAAUCUUCGCAGCUCGAAUCUGAGAUUCUUUAGAUACACCGAUGGAACUGAUCUGCAUGUAUUCAGUCAUCUUUCUAGCUACCUCUUUAUCCUUAACAAGUGCCCAGCUUCAAUUUGGAAACAAAAUAAUUAGCAGAAAGGAACAAGAAUGAACUACAAAUUAAACACAGGCAAAGAAGAAUGAUAUAUUGUUGCGAUCUUCUUAUUCCAACAAGUCAUGCAUGGCGACAUUAAUCUCUUUAACUAAAGAAUGUCCUGCUCACCCAAUCCGGGAACCAGCAUGUCCAGUGCAUUUGGAAAAUGUGAACAGCAUAAUAUCAUGAUCCAAGGGUUGAGUGAUAGGCGUGUAUUGUGGCCAGUAGUAGGCAAGGUCAUAGACAAGCUUCCCUUCUCCACGGUUCACCACAGCUUCUCGGACAGCACCGUCAGGAUUAUUCGGCGAGGUUACGACCUCAAUAUAAGGUCCAUCCUUAUCGAAGGUGUGCGCAUCUCCCUCCCAUUUAUAGAGUCCUGAACGCAGGAAUUCUGCCUGAUCUUUAUAUCCCUGCAGGCAAUGAAUAUCACAGGCACAUAAAUGAAUUAAUCUUCCACGACGAAUGAAGGGCGCCGGAGAAUUGACCUGUCCUCUUUUUUUUUCUUUUUUCUUUUCACCAUAGACGCACCAUGAGGUAAGAAACCAAUACAUGUCUUGAAUUAGUAUUUUGUCAGUCAAGUAACAUGAACAGGAAAUUAAGAAAACUUGCAAUCACAUUAUGGAUUAAUUAAUCACAUAUGCGUAAAUAAAUGCAUGUGAAUAAGCAUGCAAGCAGUCAAGCAUUUGCAACUCUGUUGAUGCCCAAUUGCAUAUGAUAUAAUUAAAUAAACUCAAGAACCGAGGUUCUGCAGCAAAGUUUGUGGAAAAUGUGGGUAACAUGCAAAGUUGUCUGCUCCAAGGACCGCAACAAGGGAGAUGGAUUUGCUAUUUUCUAAGAUGAAACAUCUUUGUUCCUGCUCGCGUAGCAAACGCCAGGCGCAAGUUCUCCCAAGUUUUGACACAAACGAGACAUGGUCAUGUUACCUAAAUCUUAGUUUCUCUUUACGAAACAUGUUUGUCGCCAUGUCUUUUGUUACAAACAGCACUCAUUUUUAUUUAUUGAUUAAUGAGUUAUUUUAUUUGUAAGAAAUACCAUUAACGUGAUGUUCUUAUUAAAUUAAGCUCUUUCUUUUUCAGAAAUAAUCUUAAUGAUCUCGCACGUACGACUUUUUCACUGAUGGCUGCGCCGGCCAAGCUUAAUUUCCUUAACCAGGCAAAGAUGGCUCUCUAAAUAAAUAAAUACAUGAGAAAUUAAAAAAGUAAACUAAAUUUAAGCAGUUCUGUUUUAUGCAAGACAAAUAAACAAAAAAAAAGAAGAUUAUAUUAGAUACUCUUGUUGGUUUGACUUUGACUUAUCAAAACUGUCUUGGCUGGUUUCAGAUCUCCUAGGUAUACAUCCUUAGAGGAUCUGACUCCUCUAAUGUUAGAGGUGACCCGCCUCAUCAUGUCAAAAAACUAAAAUUAGAACGUUGAUUUUGAAAUUUAUAAUUUGAAUUUUCUCAAAUAAAAAAAUAACUAUUAAUUUUAAAAAUAAAAAAAGAUCUGCCCACCAAGUAAAAUAAAUCUCAAAUACUGUGUUUUAGAUUAAUAUAUAGAUUUUCUUAAUAUAACGGAUCAUGCUAUCCCUAACUUAAAGGGAGAGCUCAUUCCAAUCGUUUGAAGAUCGUCAUUGAGUUCCAUGAGUAGGUUAUUAAGCCAGUAUUGAGUCUGGUUUUACACCAUCAGAUCAAGUGAAAGCAUGUAAAGACUUGCACCAAAUUAUGUAAACUGAAAGAAGUUUGAUGAGGAAGGGAGCGGUGGCUACCGAGUAAAAAGGAGCAGCAGCUACAAGACUGACGGGGUGGCGAUCAGCCGGAGAAGAGAGAGCAUACAGAGCAGCCAUUAAGAGCUGUGUUGAACCUGUCCCAACCACGAUGUGGCGAUCCUCUGUUACUGCGUUUCCAACAACACGAUGCAGUCGCUUUAUGGCAUCACCAAGUUGUGGCUGCAAAAACCAGCAAAUGUUGCUAAUAUCACUGAAAUAGCUCAUCAAAUCACACCCUUCAAUCAUCAACGUACACUUGUCUCCCAUUUUCCUCCAGUAUGGCUCGAACAACGUUGGAUCUCCCCUGCAUUUCCGCAUAACACAUCACUUCCUCGUACGUUAAGAAAAACUCUAUCCCAGAUAACAACACUACGUGAUAAUUAUACCAAACUAAAACUGUUAAACCGUAAAUGACUAUAGCCAGGCCAUUGCACCGGCGCAAUGUAGCCACAACGAGGUGGUGUAUGCUUUUAAUUUCCGAUAGAAAACAAAAGAAUUUAAUAAACGUGAACUUACUGAUCUAGAUUGAUCAUGGAAUCCGGUGAGAGACUUGUCUUUGUGGGCUUAGUUGUCGUCGGAGAAGAGUUUUGGUUAUUGGUUGCUCCAUUCUCUAAACCGCCCAUUUUUCUCUUCUCUUUUCUUCUGUUCUUUUGGUUUCCUCAACUACAGUCAGUGCUCGUGGUUUCUCGUAUACGUGCUUUGAUGGGCUAUGCAAAUACCUGUAUUUAUACUAAAUUAAUGAUGCGUCAGAAACUCUUUUUUUUUUUUUUUCAAUUCUGUAUAUGAGAGUACAUGUUAUAUUAUACGUGGGGGUGUUUUUAUUCUUGCUUUGCUUUGGUUUUUUUAUUUUUAUUAUGUUACCAAGCAUCUAGACUUUUGUAGUUAUAUUAUUCUAUAUUUUCUCAAGAAAAGUUGCAAGAUUAUCUGUCAAAUGCAAUUUUGCUUGUUUCCAUUCCAUAAUUAUUCCUAACCCAUAUUAACAUAUUAUCAUUGAUGGAAAGAUACAAUGAAUUCAAAACAUCAUAUGUGUUGUCUUAAAAAAAUUAGUUUGUAGUUAAAAAUAAUUUUUAAAAAAUAAAAACAAUAUUAUUUUAAUGUAUUUCCAAGUAAAAAGCAUUUUGAUAACAAAAUCAACUAUAUUAUCAAACAAACCCUGAAUUUUGAUGAUAACAUUUGAGAAAUUAUUAGUUUUUUUUAACGUACUAAACUGAUAUAAGGGGUGUAUUUUUAAUUUAUCUAGAAAAAAAAAAUCAAUCUCAAUACCUUUAUUGUUGAAAAAAAAACUAACAUGCAAUGUACAUAUAUCACGCUGCUCACGGGCUCCAAAACCUAUCAAAACAGAAUCUGAUCGCACGCGCGCGCGCACAUACAUGAUAUUUAAAAUACACAUAGCAUAAAUCAUGAGAGAUAUUGUAGAAAAUGAAGUUCCUAAAUGAGAAAUAAAUGAGAAACAUGCAAUAUAUCAACCAAUGAAUUAAGAGUGUAUUUAAAAAUGUGAUGGAAUCUUGCUUCUAAUUAAGGGUUUUAAAUUUUUUAUGUUUUUUAAUUAUUUUGAUGUGCUGAUAAAAAAAAAAAUUUAAAAUUCAUUUUAAAAAAAUUAUUUUAGAAAAGCUCAAUUCCCAAUCAAUUUAAUAUUGAAGGAUAGAAUCAUAAAAAAAAUCAAUUUAGAAAAAUAACUCGAGAUAACUAGUGAUAUUUUUAAAAUCAAUGAAAAAAUAAAUAAAUAAUAAUAAAGCCUACUCAGCCUAGCCUCCAAUUGAAUAAAUGAUAAAGGAUAAAAUUAAAAAAAAAUCAAGUAAACCCAGACGAACCUUCUAUAUUUAGGUUAACCUCUAAACUCACAACCCUUAAAAUCCUGGAUCUGGACUUAAUAUAGAGGCUAAAUCCCUGACCAAUUUAAUAUUAAAGGGUGAAUCCAAAAGAAACUUGGGCAUUUAUUACUUGGAUCAUAUUCGCGAUUUAUUUCCAUACUUGAACAAAUAAGAAUUUGGAAGGUUUAAAUUUUGUAAUUGUCGCUUCUAUAAUAGAACAGUUAAAUAGGAAAAACAAUAACAGUUUAAAAAACUUGUCAAAGUAAAAAAAAAAAAAACAAUAACAGUGAAAAAAGUUAGAAUCAAAUUUUAUAGGAAAAAGAGUCAAGGAAGAUGAAAAUAUGAAAAAGUUAAUUUAAAAAACCAUUUCAAACAAACCAAAUAGAAAUCAAAAAAAUGAAAAUCAAAUUUGAAAGAUUUAAAAAGUAAAAGGGGAUGAAAUUAAAAAAGAAUUCUGAUUUUAUAUAUUAUUCAAAAAAUUAUUACAAAUAUUGAAGGAUGAAAUUAAAAAAAAAAAAAUUUUAAAACUCACCCAAAGAAAAUUCAACAAAGAACAAAAAAAAAAAACCUUGAGAUAAGUUGAGUCAUUUAAAAAAUAAGUGAAAAACUCUAUAGAAAGCUAAUAAAUAAAAAUAACAGAGCUUAAUCUCUAAUUGAAUAAAUAUUAAAUGAUAAAAUUAAAAAAACAUGAGCUUAAAAAAUAAUUAAAAAAAAACAAGCAAACAUGAGCGAAUCACUUAAAGUCAAGCUAAUAUCUAAAACUUGCAACCUAUGCGAUCCUAAACCCGAACACAAUUAAGAAGCCUAAUUCAUAACUAAUUUAAUGUUGAAGGAAGAAAUCGAAAAAAAUACAAAUUUAAAAACUUUGUCAAAGUAAGAAAAAUAACAAUCAAAAGAAUGAAAAUCAAAUUUGAUAGGAAAAUAAACUUAGGGAGAAUGAAAUAAUAGAAAAAAAUAUUAAAAAUAAUCUCAAACAAAAUAAAUAGCAAUCAAUAAAUUGAAGAUCAAAUUUGAAAGAUAAAAAAAGUGGAAGAGGGGGAUGAAACUGAAAAGGAAUUCUAAUUUUGAUUAUUAUUCAAAGUAAAAUAAAUAAUAAUUAAAAAGGACAGUGACCAAAAGUUAAGAGAAAAAAUUAAAGGGAUUGGUUUGAAAUUUUGAACAAUUUGACUCAAAAUUUGAGGUGGAAAGAGAAGGAGGAAAAACAAGAAAUCGUUGUCAGUAUCAAAUACGAGGUGUGUUUAAUGCACAUGCCAUCCCGUCGUUGAGAGGAUACGAAAACCUUUUUAAAGUGUCAUUAAAUAUCGUGUUUGGUGACCAGACAAAUUGAUAAGCACCACUUGAAAGGUACUGGGAUCAUCGACUUGCUUGUGCGUGCCAUACACGUGUUUAAAGGUUUUUUUAAAAAUAAUGUUUAAUAAUAUUCAUAUAUAAAAGUGCUCUGAUUCUCUUUGAUAUUUUAAAAAAAAAGGCCACAAUAAAAGGACCGAAAGGCUCCUAAAAGAGAAUUUAGUGGAAUAUGUCAUUUAACUAUUUAAAAAUAAAAUUAAAAAUUAAAAUUAAAAUAAUCCUAAAUAUAUAUUAAUUUUUUUUUUAUUUGAGGGAUAACUAUAUAAUUUUAUUGUGCAUAAAUAAUAAGAAGAUUAAUAUGAACACAUUACAUUGCCCGUAAUGUCUAAGAUAAAGGUUUUAUUGUUUACGAAAUUUUUUGGUAUUAUGUUAUUAUAAUAAACAGUGUUUAGAUUCUUGAUUUUAAUUUUUUUAAUUUAAUUUAAUUUAAUUUGUUAGACUUUCCCUUUAUUAAUAUUUAAUAUAAGUGUGCGUUUAGAUUAGUAUUAUUAAGACAAUUGAUCUUUUUAUUAUUUUUAUUCAGUUGAUUCUCUCAAUUUUACCUAAAUUAUUUUUUAAAAUAUUUUUUUCUAUUGCUUAUGUUUUUUUCAUUAAAAAAAGGCAUAUAGCACACUCGAACGUCCACCAACACAUGAUUUGCUUUGUGCAAGAAAACAGAAAUCCAUGACUGAUGGUCGGUCGGCUUGAAUAUCAUGUGCCAUCAAUGAUGAUGAUGCAUGUGCUAUUCACUGAUAAAACAUGGGGCUUUUCAAACGUUCUUUGUAUUUAGACUUGUUAUUAUUAACAAAACAAUUAAAAGAUAAAUAAAUUAAAAUAUUGUUUCGGUUUCACGAGUGAGAUGAACAGUUAAACAACUGGCUUUCUUUUUUUCAUUUUCUUUUUUAUCUUUUAUCAUACCUUUUUAUAUAGCCUAUUUAGAAAACAAUUAGGCUUGGAAUUAUAAUAAAAAUAUAAAAUUUAAAGAUAAAAAAUUAACAAGUAAAAUAUAAAUAAAAUAUAUAGCAAACCACACAAUAAAAGUCCUUCUAUUUCAUUUGUAAUUAUAAAUUCAAUUCAAUAUUAAUUUAGAUGUUUAUUUUUCACCCACUUUUGUGUAAAACGUGCUAGCCUGACUUGCCAGACCCAACAUCACUUGAUUUUUUUAAAAAAAAAAUAUUUUUUUAAUUAAUGCCCUUAUAUAUAUAUAUAUAUAUAUUCAAAAUAAUUUUUAAAUUUAUAUGUAAAUAAUGCCUCAUUUUUCUUUUAUUUUGUUUAUCUAGACUCUUUUAAAUAAAUAUUAGUUUUUAGUUAUUUUAUAUGCAUUUAAAUUUUAGAGAGAUUAUUUUAAUUCAUCUAUAUUUUUUAUAUAUUUUAUAUAAAUGAAAUUUAUUUUAAAAAAAUUUAAAUAUUUAUUUUUGGAUAAUAUUUUUAAUAUAUGUAAUCUUGUAUAAUAUUUUUUUUUAUCUUUUAUUUAUUAAUUAAUUUCAUGUGUAUCUAUUUUUAUUAUCACUUAUUUAAAUAAAAAAUUAAUUUUUGUAAACAGAGUUGUGAAUUUUUGUAAAUUAAUUUUUAUUAUCUUGGUCUAUAUGUGACUUUCAAUUUUUUAGUUUUUAUCUUUAUUUAUCAUUAAUGACUUUUUAUUUAUUUAUUUAUUAAUAUAUAUUAAUUUAUUUUAUUAGAUGUACCUAUAAGUUUUUUAAUUUUAAUUAAAAAAAAUUUAAAAACAUAUAUAUUUAUUUUUUAUAUAUAAAAAAAAAUCCUUCCCACAACAAAGUACAAGUGAAAGAGCUAUUAAAAACUAGCCAGUAUAGGUUUGAUAAAGAGGAUAUUGGGCUGGUAUAUCAUAUUAUUACUGUUAUUAAUUUUUACCACUAUAUAAUAAAAAAUAACAACAGUGCAUUAUUGUGCUCAAUUUGGGCGGGACUUGUCGCACGUGUGUGGCGGCACGGCGAUCGUCCACCCUCAAGGAAAAAUCAGAAUAAUUUAUUCCUGGCAAAUAAAAUAGGGAGAGACAAGGAAUUCUUGUCUCUACAAGUGAAAAUAUGGACUGGGAGUCGCCACCUAGUAUUCUGGUUACUAGGAACCUUAACUGGUCUUUAGAGAUCGGGUACGGAGACUAGUUGCGUAAAGGGAAGGUAUUAGCACCACAACUACGUCCUACUUAAGGUAGACUGCAUUGUUUUAAUGUCUGAUAAAAUCUAAAAUCGUGUUGUGGUUUUUUUGAAUUUUUGGUUCGUUUACGGUUUAAGAAAAGUCCUCCUCUGUAAGGAGGUCCUUAUCUUUAUCGGGUAAAAAAAGUACUAUUCGAAGUCGUCAAAAGAAAAUAUUUUUUUAAUAUCAGGAAUACGAUUUACGCAUAAAUUCAUAAUCCCUGAUACUAAAAUCAAACAAAAUAAAAUAUUUGUUGUUUUUUGAAAUUUUGGCCAAUGUUCUCUUGACUUUAAUAAACUGGUUAUUAAAGCCAAAAUGCAUGCUAAAAUAUUGUUUUUUGACAUAUGAAAAAUACGAUAUGAUUUUUUAGAUUUGAGACACUUGGCCGUAUGUACAAAAACAUUUUUUUAUCUUUUUUUCAAUUUUUUUUUAUUUUUGGAAGUUUUUGCCGAAAACCGAGUAUUUUAAUACCGGAUUUAUAUUUUUACGAUGUAAAAAUACUGCCCGAUAUCAAUCAAAAUGACAUACAAACGACGCGGAAAAAUUAUAAAAUGCCGAAACAAAUAUUUUUGAUUUUUUAUGUUGUGUGAACAGUACCGCGGGACGAAAACCGGGUAUUUUAAUACCGAAUUUAUAUUUUUACGAUGUAAAAUACAGACCGAUAUUAAGCAAAAUUGAUAAAAAAAAAAAUGUGCUAAAAAAUUGUAAAAAAACUUCUGAAAAAAAAAAUUGAAAAAAAAAAAUUGAAAUGGGCCGGGUCCGGUAACCAGCCCUCUUCAGCUGCAGAACGUGAAUUAAUUCACGUUCUGCAUGCAAACGAGGGAGGCAGCAAACGGAGAAGGCGACAGGGCGGCGAGAGAUUACCUGCGGUGACGUCGUGGCGGUGCUGCCGGCGGCGUAGGCACGGUGGCGGAGGCCGGCGGUGGUUCUCUCUCUCUCUCUUCUGUUUUUCUUCGUUUUCUUCCCUGCUGCUUCUUCUUCUUCUUCUUCUUCUCUGCCCUCUCUCUUCUCUUCUCUUCUAUCUCGGUUCGUCUCCCUCUCCCCUCUGUUCUUCCUCUCCUUCUUCGGUUCCCUUCCCCUGUUUUUAUAGGCAAAAACAGGGGAAGGCCGAAUGGUGGGGCGGCCACUAUUGGCCGCCCCUCCACUAUCUGUUCAAAAGGUGGCAAGUGGGCUGGUGUGGUAGGUGUCUUAUUGCGCAAAAAUAGGGAAAGAGGUUAGGCGAAAAGGGAGAAGAAAAAUCUUCUUCUUCCCCUGCCUCGCGUGUCCAGGGGAAGAAGAAGAGCUACAGUGCCGUCAAAACGGCACCGUUUUGGGCAUCUGUAUUUUAUUUUUUUUUUUUUUGCAACAGUGAAUGAAACGGCGCCGUUUUGGUCAAAACGCGCCGUUUCAUUUAAAAGGAAAAGGCGCCAAAAGCAUCAGAUUCAAAUUUCGGCCCUCCAUUUGCGCGCGUUUUACAAUUUAGUCCUUGGUCUCGGAUUUCUUCAAUUAAGUCCCUAAUUGGCCAUUAAACUUCAAUAUUUAUGCAAUUAAGCCCCUAAUUUGACCAAAUUAACUUCCAAAAAUUUAAAUUUGACCCCAGAAAAUUAAUUCCUCCUAAUUAAAGCCCAAAUUAACUCCAAAAUCAAUUUUUCUUGCAAUUAAAAUCUUCAUAAAUGCAAUUAAACCUUCAAUAAAAUUUAAUUGAGUCCAUAAACUUCUAAUUUUGCAUUUUUCUUCCUCAAAAUUGAAUUUUCUUUAUCAUCGGGGCUCUCAUCAGUCAAUGAUAUACUGUCAAAAAUUAAUUUUUAUACUUUUGAACAUCCUCAAUCAAUUUUUGAACAUUUUUAGAGCGCUCUGGCAUUUUUUCACUGUUAUAUUUUUUGAUAAUAUAUUUUUUUGAAUUUUUUUAUAUUUUUUUUUAUGUGGGGACCCAAAAAUGGGUUACAACAGGACUUUUCAAGAACAAUGUUGUUUUCUUUCAUUUUGGUCAUCAAUGAUGAUGUUGUUUUUGCGUAUUCUUGGAAGUUAAAUUUGAAUUUGCUUCUCUUUGUACUCAUUGUUUUAGAGACAUAAGAAUUUGAAUUUAUAGUAAAAAAAAAUUAAAAAAACAAGUACCAAAAUAACUAAUAACAAUAUUAUCUAUUGUUCGAAUGAUGCAUAAAAAUAUAAUUUCAUCCUUAAAGUUUAAUUUAUGCAUAUUUGAUCUCUAUAGUCUUAGAAUUAUAUGUUUCAAUCUUGGACUUCUUUUUUUAUUUAUUUAUUUUAGUCUUUAAGUGUAGAGAGAUGCUAGAAAAAAAAGAAAAAAAAGACAUCACUCAGUCAGUUAAAAAAAUCAAUCUUGUUAUCAAUAAAUUUGUCUUACAUAAAUAAGUUCUAUAAAGAUGGUUUAGAAUUUUUAUCCGGUUAAAGUCAAAAACACAAAUUGAGGCUUAGAAUUUUUUUUUCUUUGGUUUGAUUCUAGAUGUUUAAUAGAUUGGAGGGCAUUUUGGGGUUAAAAUGAGUUUAAAGAGGUUCUUAAUAUAUACAUGUGUGUGUGUGUGUUUUAAAGUAAAAAUAAGUUGAAAAAUAGGUUUUGAAGUUGUAGAACUCAUACUUUAAAUUCAAAUAAUCAUGAAAGGUCAAAAUUCAAACUAGAAUGUGGUGCCUAUUGUUUUUUAUUAAAAAAAAAUAUUAGAAAAAAUAAAGCAUGGAAUAAAAGAUUUUUUAUGGUAAAAUUAACCAUUACUUUGUGAAUUAUGAUAUAAGAAGGUAAUAUGCAAAGUUUUUUAAAAAAUGUUCAUAACUAUUAAAUGAGAAUAAAACUAUUUUGUUAUUUUUUAUUAUAUAAUUUUUACAUAAUUUUGAUGAUUAAUUAUUCUUUUAUGUUUUUCUUCUAUUGUGUACAAAUUAUUGAUUCAUGAUUUUUAUAUUUUUUUAAUGAAAAUUUCUUUUCAAAUCAUAAUAAAUCUUUAUUUAGAAAACAAUACUUCUAUUAAAAAACAUGUUUUCUAGAAACAAGAAAGAAAUGCAUGAAUAAUAAAAGCGAUUUUUAAUUGAAAACGAUACAUUUUUCCCUUUUUUAAUUCAAAUAAUUAAUAUUUUUAUGAAUAUUUAUUUUAAUUAUUUUUAGUUUUUAUUCAAAAACAUGCUACUAAUUAAAAAAAAAAACAUGUUCUUGUCAAACAAAAAUACAUGAAUAAAAAUUGAAAAACUCACCUAACAAAAUAUUUUUUUUCUCCACAAUUUAAAUCUUUGUGUUUUUUUUUACAAAUAUCAAUUUUAAAUACCACAAAACUAGAUGAAAAAAGAUUUUGAAAACCGCCGCAUAAGGGAAAAAAUUAGUAAAUAUAUUAAAAGAGCUAGACUUUUUAUUGUAACUCUAUAUUGUUCAAAUAGAAAUAAAACAUUGUGAAUUACUUCGUAGAAAAACAAAGCAAUCUCUAUUGUUCACCUACAAAUAAGACAAUAUUAAUUGUAUACUCUAGCCCCUAAAGCUUUUAAUUUUUUAAUUUUUGGUCCUUUUAGUUUAAAGCCCGUUAGUUUUGGUCUUUAAAUUUCAUUUUUAUAAUAUUUCAUACCCUGUAUUCUAAGAGAGGAGAGAACAACUUCUUACUGAUUCAUAUUUAUUUCACACAAAAAUCAAUCAUAGUAUUAAUAAGUUCGUCAUCUUAGAAAGAAAAUGUAAAAUGAAGGUGCCUUUUCUAUUUAACUACACCUAAAAAUAGAUCAAAACAUUUUAUUAUAGAAACAAAACACUAUUCAUUUUACACUUUUAUCAUUGUAGUUUUUAAAUUUUUUUUUCAUAUUCGAUCCAUGUAAUUUUUGUUUUGUUCAUUUUAGUUUUCAAACUUUAUUUUCAUCACAUUUUUGUUCCUGGAUUCUAAGAGAGGAGAAAGAAAAUUGUUGAAAAACAAAAAAAAAUAUAUUUUUUAGCUAGCCAUAAAAGAGACUAAUCUUGGUGUUAAAAACUUCAUUCCAAUUAUUAGGAAUUUUUAUUGAAUUUCUUUAAGUUUGUACGGAAAAAACCAUGUUGUUGAUAAAAACAAAAAUCAUGGCUAUGUCAAAUUAUUGAAAUUAUUUCAAGUAUUUAUUUUAAUAGUCAUAAAAUCAAAUAUAAGCAGGUUUUAAAAUGACCCUGCGACUUCCUGUGGAUAACAAACUAGUAAACUAAACUAAAAUUGAGAAUAAAAUUGUAUUUUAAUCACAUUGUUUUUGUCUGUUACCUUUUUUCUUCUCUUUUCAAUCAAUUUUUUGUCUUAAAAAAUAGAGAAUAAAAUUGUAUUCUAAAUAAAAUUAUUGAGACGAUAUGCCAUGCUACAAUUUUUAAAUAAAAUUAUAGCUUUUAUGGUAAUAUUAAUAAUUGUUUUAUAAAUGAUAGACAUCAAUAACUAUGAAUUAAAUUAAUUUUUUCUUAAUGAUAAUUUUUCAAACUCAUAAAAUUGUAGCUAAUGGAGUGAUUAUUGGAGAGGUUUCAAAACUUUAUACUUUUUAUUACAAAACUAAUAAAUCUAAAAAAAAUGAAUUAUUUUGUGUAAGAAUUUUUAGGCCUAUAAAAAUAGGAUUUGUGCUUCUGAUAAUUUUUUUGUAUUGGAGAUGAAAAGAAAGAAUAAAAAAUUUUAAAAGGAUAAAUAUAAUGAUAAUUUGAUUUUCAGUGUGGUAAUAAAUAGGAGCAACAUGCAUGGGAUCAUUCCUUUUAAAACCAAAAAGAAGAAUUUAUUGAAGGGGAAAUAAGAAAUAUUUUGUUAUUCCUAAGAGUGGAUUCUUUUUUUUUAAUUGUUGGCGGUCAUAUGAUUUUUUAUAUUUAGACGUGAUUUGUUAAUAGUAAUAAAUAAAGAUAAUAAGAAAUAGAAAGAAAUUGAUCACCUGGAUCGUGUAUAGAAUAAAUAGUUUAAUGGAAGUCAGAAUUUUCAAAAAUAUUUGGAACAUUUCAUUUUUAAAUAGAUGAUUUUUUUUUCAAGUGUUCACAAUUAUAUAUUAAUCAAGCUAAUCCUUUGAAUCUAGAUCAAACUUGUAACCAUGUUUUUUUCAAGUCUGGCACCAAUCAAUUCGACUACAAAGAAUAAUUUUUAUUAAAAUAUGUGCAAUUUAUUAAAAACUUUCUUUAGAUAUAAAAUUUUGAGUAUUCAAUGAACCUAAUAUGCAUAUUUUUUUAAACAAAUUGCUUAUGAAUAUUGUAUGAAAAUAAAAUAUUUUUUUCUUUAUUAAAAAUAUUUUAUAUAAUUUUAUUAAAUUAAUUAUUCUUCUAUUUUUUUCAUAUAGUCAUGUAAAAAUUACCAAAGCAUUUGUUUGUUUGUUUGUUUACUGUGUCUUGUUUUUCAAAUCUAUAGGCAACUAGAUAAGCAAAUUAAAAUCUGCAGCAACCAUCCUUUGACAAAUGUUAUGAAUUUAGGCUAUGGGGUAGGUGGGAGGGUCGGAUUUUUUUAAUAACCAAGCAUUAUAUACUUUAUCUUUCGGCCCCCACCAACGCAGGAAGCACCUCGGCUGGUUCGUUGCCAUCACAGACGUUGACUUCAAAUAUUACUAGAUACAAAGUAAAUAAUCUUACAAUACUGUGAUGCACAGCAGAUGCAAAUCAGGACUUCAUUAGGGUUUGUCUGAGCUUGUAAUAUCCAACCAUGCCUUAUUUCAACUUCACUCAAGAGAUAGGCGAACCUGACUUGGUUACCGGGGAAAUUCCGGGGAUUAAAUCUGAAGCUAGUUUUUUUCUAAGCACAUCAGCAGCAGAAGGAUUACGCUCAUCAAGAGUCGCUGACAUCACAGGUGAGAGUUCUUCUUCAGAAUCUUUCAAAUCAAAUUAUGCAAAGCUUCCUGAUUACCUUAAGUCAUGCCUAGACUACUCUGCCAUUGUUUGUGGGAGAUAUGGUGUAGAGAUAGGAAAACUAGUUCGGCUUUUGUUGGCUGAAGGUCUUAUAGAAGACAGACCAGGGGAUAUCAUGGAGGAUGUAGCAGCAAAUGUUCUCAAGGAAUUGAUUGACCUAGGAAUGCUUCAAGAAGAACGACAAGGGACUGAAGUAAAAGUCCCUGCAUCGUAUCUCCGGUUAUGUAUUCUUAAAUUGGAGAAACAAGAUUUUGUUUCUAAAACUGCAAACUCACCUGUGCGUUUAGGGAUCAGAGAUGAUGGAAGGGAUAUCUAUCCUAAAGUUGAAGGCCUUCUAAUUCAUUCUCUGUUUAUUCUCGGUGCAGACCGCCGUGCUUAUUUUGAUUCUUACCGAGGCCUUUCACGGGCCUAUAUGAGAAAUGUUUGUGGUAUGCACUUUCUGUUGGUGUUGGAUUUGGAUUGCUGGAUAGAGCGCUUACCUGAUGAAUUGGGAGACUUGAUUCACCUGAGGUACUUGGGCUUGUUUAACUCAAAUCUAGAUGAGCUUCCAGGGACUUUAGGGAAUCUUAAAAGACUGCAAACUUUGGAUAUAAGGUGGUGUGGAGGACUACGCAAACUACCAAUACAAAUUCUGCAUAUCCAGCAGUUGAGACACCUUCUAAUGUCCGACAGCAUUAAUGAUUGUGAAAUUAGAGUUCCGAAGGGCAUUGGAGCAUUGGUAAAUCUUCACACU